AUUGAACGCUGGCGGCAUGCCUUACACAUGCAAGUCGAACGGUAACAGGUCUUCGGAUGCUGACGAGUGGCGAACGGGUGAGUAAUACAUCGGAACGUGCCUAGUAGUGGGGGAUAACUACUCGAAAGAGUGGCUAAUACCGCAUGAGAUCUACGGAUGAAAGCAGGGGAUCGCAAGACCUUGUGCUACUAGAGCGGCCGAUGGCAGAUUAGGUAGUUGGUGGGAUAAAAGCUCACCAAGCCGACGAUCUGUAGCUGGUCUGAGAGGCCGAUCGGCCAGCCUGGGACGGAGACACGGCCCAGACUCUCACGGGAGGCCGCAGGAGGGAAUUUUGGACCAUGUGCGCAAGCCUGUUCCAGCAAUGCCGCGUGCAGGAUGAAGGCCUUCGGGUUGUAAACUGCUUGUGUACGGAACGAAAAGCCCUGGGUGAAUACCCUGGGGUCAUGACGGUACCGUAAGAAUAAGCACCGGCUAACUACGUGCCAGCAGCCGCAGUAAAAC
rnacentral:rRNA from 1 species